rnacentral:rRNA from 1 species
UACGUAGGGUGCGAGCGUUAAUCGGAAUUACUGGGCGUAAAGCGUGCGCAGGCGGCUUCGCAAGUCAGACGUGAAAUCCCCGGGCUUAACCUGGGAAUGGCGUUUGAAACUACGGAGCUGGAGUGUGGCAGAGGGAGGUAGAAUUCCACGUGUAGCGGUGAAAUGCGUAGAGAUGUGGAGGAACACCAGUGGCGAAGGCGACUCUUUGGCCUGUAACUGACGCUGAGGCGCGAAAGCGUGGGGAGCAAACAGG